rnacentral:piRNA from 1 species
GAUUGAGACCAUCCUGGCCAACAUGGUGU